UGAGGAAUCUUGAACAAUGAGCGAAAGCUUGAUUCAGCGAAAUUACAUGAAUGAUGAAGUUAAUUCUUAAAAUUCUUUUUUAAGUGAAAAUAAUGAUAUUAGCUUAAGAAUAAGCAUCGACAAACCUCGUGCCAGCAGUCGCGGUGAUACGGGGGAUGCGGGUGUUACUCAGCAUUACUGGGCGUAAAGCGUAUGUAUGGUGGUUUUUUUUAAUUUUAGUUGAAAAGUAAUAGUAAAACCAUUACAAAAACUUUAAUAUUAUAAAACUUCGGGUGUAUAUCACGUAAAUAGUAUUUAUAGAGUAAAGGUGAAAUUUUUAUAUAAUAUAAAGACUGUCAAAUGAUUAAAAUUAUUUACCAGAAUACACUGACGCUAAAGUACGAAGGCGUGGGGAUCAAAA
rnacentral:rRNA from 1 species